UUGUAACACCCGAAGCCGGUGGAGCAACCACUUUGUGGAGCUAGCCGUCGAAGGUGGGACAAAUGAUUGGGGUGAAGUCGUAACAAGGUAGCCGUAUCGGAAGGUGCGGCUGGAUCACCUCCUUUCUAAGGA
rnacentral:rRNA from 1 species